ncrna:unclassified sequences eL15-Euryarchaeota ribosomal protein leader
CGGGAGGAAUCCCGUAGGAAUGUGGUCCGACAGGACUGAACCGUGAA